rnacentral:piRNA from 2 species
ACAGAGAAGAUUAGCAUGGCCCCUGA